rnacentral:rRNA from 1 species
UUUCUGGUGUAGGGGUAAAAUCCGUAGAGAUCAGAAGGAAUACCGAUUGCGAAGGCGAUCUACUGGAACAUUACUGACGCUGAGAUGCGAAAGCGUGGGGAGCAAACAGGAUUAGAUACCCUGGUAGUCCACGCCCUAAACGAUGCACACUAGUUGUUGCUAUGCUAGACAUAGCAGUAAUGCAGUUAACACAGUAAGUGUGCCGCCUGGGGAGUACGGUCGCAAGAUUAAAACUCAAAGGAAUAGACGGGGACCCGCACAAGCGGUGGAGCAUGUGGUUUAAUUCGACGAUACGCGAAGAACCUUACCUGGCCUUGACAUAGAGAGAACUUACUAGAGAUAGUUUGGUGCUAGUUUACUAGAACUCUUAUACAGGUGCUGCACGGCUGUCGUCAGCUCGUGUCGUGAGAUGUUGGGUUAAGUCCCGCAACGAGCGCAACCCUCGUGUUUAGUUACUAACAGUUCGGCUGAGGACUCUAGACAGACUGCCUGGGUAACCAGGAGGAAGGUGAGGACGACGUCAAGUCAUCAUGGCCCUUACGGCCAGGGCUACACACGUGCUACAAUGGGGUAUACAAAGAGCCGCGAUACCGUGAGGUGGAGCAAAUCUCAUAAAAUAUCUCCCAGUUCGGAUAGUAGUCUGCAACUCGACUACUUGAAGUUGGAAUCGCUAGUAAUCGUAGAUCAGCAAUGCUACGGUGAAUACGUUCCCGGGUCUUGUACUCACCGCCCGUCACACCAUGGGAGUUGAUUUCAUUCGAAGCGGGGAUGCUAAAAUAGCUACCUUCCACAGUGGAAUUAGCGACUAGGGUGAAGUCGUAACAAGGUAACC